AUGUCUGAUGAUGAAUGCAAAGGUAAGAGUUCAUGGCCAGAACUAGUUGGAGUUGAUGGAAAGGUUGCAGAGGGUAGAAUUGAGAAGGAGAAUCCAUUGGUGAAUGCCAUAAUUGUUCCAGAUGGAUCUUCUGUCCCUCUUGACUUCCGUUGUGAUAGAGUUUGGGUUUGGGUUGAUAAAGAUGGAAUUGUUAAACAGACUCCAAUUAUUGGAUAG